UUUCGGGAGGAAGCAGUGGGGAAUUUUACGCAAUGGGGGAAACCCUGAGGUAGCGACACCGCGUGAGAGAAGAAUCCUCUUGGGGUGUAAAGCUCUUUCAGUUGGAACGAAAAAAUGACGGUACCAGCAGAGGAAGCAUCGGCUAAAUACGUGCCAGCAGCCGCGGUAAGACGUAGGGUGCGAGCGUUGUCCGGAUUUAUUGGGCGUAAAGAGUUCGUAGGUGGUUUGUCAAGUCUGAUGUUAAAGAUCGGGGCUCAACCCUGGGAAUGCAUUGGAUACUGGCAGACUUGAGUGUGGUAGAGGGGGGUGGAAUUCCCAGUGUAGCGGUGAAAUGCGUAGAUAUUGGGAAGAACACCGGUGGGGUAGGCGACUUUCUGGGCCAUAACUGACACUGAGGAACGAAAGCCAGGGUAGCGAACGGGAUUAGAUACCCCGGUAGUCCUGGCCGUAAACGAUGGAUACUAGGCGUAUCGGGUAUCGACCCCUUCAGUGCCGCAGCUAACGCGAUAAAGUUCCCGCCC
rnacentral:rRNA from 1 species